rnacentral:rRNA from 1 species
UAAUCCAGAUAUCAAUUAAUGCAUAAAAAGUUUGAAAGAUGCGCAAGCUAUACUUCAGAUGGGCCGCGGGCAUAGCUAGUUGGUAGGUAAAGGCCUCCAAGGCGACGAUGGUAGCCGCCUGAGAGGGUGAUCGGCCCAUGGGACGAGACACGGCCCAGCUCCUACGGGAGGCAGCAGGGGGAAUUUGGACAAUGGGCGCAAGCCUGAUCCAGCCAUGCCGCGUGCGGGAGAAGGCCUUCGGGUUGUAAACCGCUUUCAGCCGGAAAGAAAUCGCCAUUCCUAAUACGAGUGGUGGAUGACGGUACCGGAAGAAGAAGCACCGGCUAACUACGUGCCAGCAGCCGCGGCAAUACGUAGGGUGCGAGCGUUAAUCGGAAUUACUGGGCGUAAAGCGUGCGCAGGCGGUUUCUCAAGCCAGAUGUGAAAUCCCCGGGCUUAACCUGGGAACUGCAUUUGGAACUGGGAGACUAGAGUGUGUCAGAGGGGGGUGGAAUUCCACGUGUAGCAGUGAAAUGCGUAGAGAUGUGGAGGAACACCGAUGGCGAAGGCAGCCCCCUGGGAUGACACUGACGCUCAUGCACGAAAGCGUGGGGAGCAAACAGGAUUAGAUACCCUGGUAGUCCACGCCCUAAACGAUGUCAACUGGCUGUUGGGAGAGGAAUCUUUCAGUAGCGAAGCUAACGCGUGAAGUGACCGCCUGGGA